rnacentral:rRNA from 1 species
UACGGAGGGUGCAAGCGUUGUCCGGAUUUAUUGGGUUUAAAGGGUGCGUAGGCGGCUAUUUUAAGUCAGUGGUGAAAUCCUGCAGCUCAACUGUAGAACAGCCAUUGAUACUGAAUAGCUUGAGUACAGACGAGGUAGGCGGAAUUUAUGGUGUAGUGGUGAAAUGCAUAGAUACCAUAAAGAACCCCUAUUGCGAAGGCAGCUUACUAGGCUGUAACUGACGCUGAGGCACGAAAGCGUGGGGAUCAAACAGG